CUAAGUACCCCGAGGAAAAGAAAUCAACCGAGAUUCCCCCAGUAGCGGCGAGCGAACGGGGAGGAGCCCAGAGCCUGAAUCAGCAUGUGUGUUAGUGGAAGCGUCUGGAAAGGCGCGCGAUACAGGGUGACAGCCCCGUACACAAAAGCGCAUGUGCUGUGAGCUCGAUGAGUAGGGCGGGACACGUGGUAUCCUGUCUGAAUAUGGGGGGACCAUCCUCCAAGGCUAAAUACUCCUGACUGACCGAUAGUGAACCAGUACCGUGAGGGAAAGGCGAAAAGAACCCCGGCGAGGGGAGUGAAAAAGAACCUGAAACCGUGUACGUACAAGCAGUGGGAGC
rnacentral:rRNA from 1 species